UACGUAGGGUGCAAGCGUUGUCCGGAAUUAUUGGGCGUAAAGAGCUCGUAGGCGGUCUGUCACGUCGGCUGUGAAAUCCCGAGGCUCAACCUCGGGUCUGCAGUCGAUACGGGCAGACUAGAGGUAGGUAGGGGAGAAUGGAAUUCCCGGUGUAGCGGUGAAAUGCGCAGAUAUCGGGAGGAACACCAAUAGCGAAGGCAGCUCGCUGGGACGUUACUGACACUGAGGCGCGAAAGCGUGGGGAGCGAACAGG
rnacentral:rRNA from 1 species